rnacentral:rRNA from 1 species
CCAGACUCCUACGGGAGGCAGCAGUGGGGAAUAUUGGGCAAUGGGCGCAAGCCUGACCCAGCAACGCCGCGUGAAGGAAGAAGGCUUUCGGAUUGUAAACUUCUUUUGUCAGGGACGAAGCAAGUGACGGUACCUGACGAAUAAGCCACGGCUAACUACGUGCCAGCAGCCGCGGUAAUACGUAGGUGGCAAGCGUUAUCCGGAUUUACUGGGUGUAAAGGGCGUGUAGGCGGGGAAGCAAGUCAGAUGUGAAAACCACGGGCUCAACCUGUGGCCUGCAUUUGAAACUGUUUUUCUUGAGUGCUGGAGAGGCAAUCGGAAUUCCGUGUGUGGCGGUGAAAUGCGUAGAUAUACGGAGGAACACCAGUGGCGAAGGCGGCUUGCUGGACUGUAACUGACGUUGAGGCUCGAAAGCGUGGGGAGCAAACAGGAUUAGAUACCCCAGUAC